GGCCGAGUGGUUAAAGUGCUUGGCUGCUAACCAAAAUGUUGGUGGUUCAAACCCACC
rnacentral:tRNA from 1 species